rnacentral:rRNA from 1 species
UACGUAGGCAGCGAGCGUUGUUCGGAGUUACUGGGCGUAAAGAGUAUGUAGGCGGUUCUGCAAGUUUGGUGUGAAAUCUCCCGGCUCAACUGGGAGGGUGCGCCGAAAACUGCAGGGCUAGAGUGCGGGAGAGGAAAGCGGAAUUCCUGGUGUAGCGGUGAAAUGCGUAGAUAUCAGGAGGAACACCUGCGGUGUAGACGGCUUUCUGGACCGUAACUGACGCUGAGAUACGAAAGCGUGGGUAG